UCUGAAGUGCACUGCUGUGCCCUCAAACCAGAGGCUGUCACACACUCCCUCCUUAAAGCCAGGGGGCUCGUAGUGAGGUGGGGUGACUGCAGCAUUUCAAAUGGCAGAGGAAUUGGUCACAAAGUGCACAUCCAAGACAUGAAAACUUGAGAGGAGUGAAGGUUUUAUUACCUAGAAAAUAAGAAGUGGACACUUGGAGAGUCUCUACAGGCAAAUUUUGAAUAUUCAUCAAAUUCAGAAACAAACUGCACAUUCGAAUGCAGAAAAUGUCCAUUAAAAUGUUUUAAGCUACUUCUGCAGCUGCUCCUAGCAUGUUUCAGCCCGGUUGGUGACAUACUACAACUAUGAAUUGCACUGAAAACCUGCCAUUCACAUGAAUACCUUAGUUAUUAUUCAAAAUAGUAAAACAGAAUUUUCUUUUGGGAUUUUUUGUCAGUCAGAAAAUAGGAUAAGAAAAAUAUGACUCGCAAUAUGAUUCGGUGAUAGGAGGUUGUUUGUAUGCCAGUUCUUACCGAAGGAUGUCCAUCUGCGGCCCAUGUUCUGAGUAUCUGAACUUAAACUGAUAAGACUCUAUGACAUGCUGGAAUACGAAAUACAAUUUAGAAAGGCUACUUUGUGCUGUGCUGCAUGUUUUGCUACAGGUGGUGUAUACAGCUUUUAGUACAUUGUAUAGAAUCCUUCUGUACGUUAAGAAUGACUAGAUCUACUUUUUGUUAGUAUUUUACUACAUUUAUGAACA